CCAAUAGCGUAUAUUAAAGUUGUUGCAGUUAAAAAGCUCGUAGUUGAACUUCGGGGUCUACCCAUUGGUCAGGCUUAAUUGUCUGCACUCGUGAGAUGGCUCUCUACCUUCUGAGGGACUCUCAUGCCAUUUAUUUGGUGUUGUUGGAAAUCAGGAGUAUUACUUUUAAGAAAUUAGAGUGUUUAAAGCAGACUAUAGUCUGCAUACAUUCGCAUGGAAUAAUAAAAUAGGACGGACUGAUUCUAUUUCGUUGGUUUCUAGGAUCACCGUAAUGAUUAAUAGGGAUAGUUGGGGGCAUUAGUAUUCAAUUGUCAGAGGUGAAAUUCUUGGAUUUAUUGAAGACUAACUACUGCGAAAGCAUUUGCCAAGGAUGUUUUCAUUAAUCAAGAACGAAAGUUAGGGGAUCGAAGACGAUCAGAUACCGUCGUAGUCUUAACCAUAAACUAUGCCGACUAGGGAUCGGACGAAGUUAAUUUUUUAAUGACUCGUUUAGCACCUUACG
rnacentral:rRNA from 1 species